rnacentral:lncRNA from 1 species
AAUGGAUUUUAAGUUAUGUUCUCAGAGCCAGUGGGGGAAAAAAACAACGCAGGAAAUGAUAGAAGCACUGCUUGGGAAAGAUGAUGUCAUGUUAAUAUGCCACAGAAAGAAGGCAGAGCUAAUCAACUCCUGUUUUUUUUUUUUUAAAUAUUUUCUUUUUUAAAAAUCAAUGAUUGGGAACCUAAUUUUCAAUACUUAAAUAUUAUCUUUGAUAUAGCUAAAAUUAAUGGUUACUGAUAAAAACACAACUUUUUGAAAACAAAAUUCUUCUCUUUUACCAUAUUCCCAGAGGGAGAGGCCUAACAUUUCUCUGAAAGAGAAAUCACAGUCCCUGCCCUAUUGUGGAACUUGUGACCUAGUUGGGGCCGGAUUGGGGUGGGGUAGGAAGACAUAAUUGUAAAACAAUUAGACAAACCUCCAAUUUCAGCAAAGGCAAGAUAUUAAUAAAUGGUAGGAUACACACACACCUGAUUAAGGAAUUUCAAAUAGGGAAAAUCCUCAGAGGGAAGGGACUAAUCAGGAGGGCUUUGUGAAGACAGUAAACCUUGAACUGGGCUUUUGAAACAAAACAGUUUAAUUAGUGGAAAGAA